GAUGAACGCUGGCGGCGUGCCUAAUACAUGCAAGUCGAGCGAACAGACGAGGAGCUUGCUCCUCUGACGUUAGCGGCGGACGGGUGAGUAACACGUGGAUAACCUACCUAUAAGACUGGGAUAACUUCGGGAAACCGGAGCUAAUACCGGAUAAUAUAUUGAACCGCAUGGUUCAAUAGUGAAAGACGGUUUUGCUGUCACUUAUAGAUGGAUCCGCGCCGCAUUAGCUAGUUGGUAAGGUAACGGCUUACCAAGGCAACGAUGCGUAGCCGACCUGAGAGGGUGAUCGGCCACACUGGAACUGAGACACGGUCCAGACUCCUACGGGAGGCAGCAGUAGGGAAUCUUCCGCAAUGGGCGAAAGCCUGACGCAGCAACGCCGCGUGAGUGAUGAAGGUCUUCGGAUCGUAAAGCUCUGUUAUUAGGAAAGAAAAAAUGUGUAAGUAACUAUGCACGUCUUGACGGUACCUAAUCAGAAAGCCACGGCUAACUACGUG
rnacentral:rRNA from 1 species